GUUACCAGAUUAUGUGCGUACAACAAAAGAAAACGACUGAGCUUAAGAGUCUCCAGUUGUAUUGUCAUCUCACCGCCUGGAUGCUGCAGGAGGAAACUUGAGCUGUCCACUGAGGGGAAAUACACUAUAAGUGCCAGAUCAAACUCAACCAGACACAUGAGAAACACAGCUGUGUACUGUUCUAAAGCACAUCUCUUCUCUACUGUAGUUAAAUUGAUACUGUCUUUUCUCAUUAAUUACAGCAGGGAUGGAAACUACCUGGAUGUUGCAAGAGAAAAACACCACAGGUAACAGAGUUCAUUACUGUAGCAAUGGAAACCACCUUGAUGCCGCAAGAGGAAUCGCAGCCAGUCAACUGAGAUCAAAUAAAACUCUGUAUGAUACGAUCAUGGAGGUCAGACACAGGAACAGAAGAUGAACUCGAGUGUGGCUUUAUUGGAUGGUUCUGUAUGUGAAUAGAAAG